CGUGUCGUGAGAUGUUGGGUUAAGUCCCGCAACGAGCGCAACCCUUGACCUUAGUUGCCAGCAUUGAGUUGGGCACUCUAAGGUGACUGCCGGUGACAAACCGGAGGAAGGUGGGGAUGACGUCAAAUCAUCAUGCCCCUUAUGACCUGGGCUACACACGUGCUACAAUGGAUGGUACAAAGGGCUGCGAGACCGCGAGGUUAAGCCAAUCCCAGAAAACCAUUCCCAGUUCGGAUUGCAGGCUGCAACCCGCCUGCAUGAAGCCGGAAUCGCUAGUAAUCGCGGAUCAGCAUGCCGCGGUGAAUACGUUCCCGGGCCUUGUACACACCGCCCGUCACACCACGAGAGUUUGUAACACCCGAAGUCGGUGAGGUAACCUUUACGGAGCCAGCCGCCGAAGGUGGGACAGAUGAUUGGGGU
rnacentral:rRNA from 1 species